rnacentral:rRNA from 1 species
GACGAACGCUGGCGGCGUGCUUAACACAUGCAAGUCGAACGGAAAGGCCCUUCUUUUGUGUGGUGCUCGAGUGGCGAACGGGUGAGUAACACGUGAUUAACCUGCCCUUGACUUUGGGAUAACUUCAGGAAACUGGUGCUAAUACCGGCUAGGCGCUCCUGCUGCAUGGUGGGGGUUGGAUAGUUUCGGCGGUUGGGGAUGGACUCGCGGCUUAUCAGCUUGUUGGUGGGGUAUUGGCUUACCAAGGCUUUGACGGGUAGCCGGCCUGAGAGGGUGACCGGCCACAUUGGGACUGAGAUACGGCCCAGACUCCUACGGGAGGCAGCAGUGGGGAAUAUUGCACAAUGGGCGGAAGCCUGAUGCAGCAACGCCGCGUGAGGGAUGACGGCCUUCGGGUUGUAAACCGCUUUCGCCUGUGACGAAGCGUGAGUGACGGUAAUGAGAAAAGAAGCACCGGCUAACUACGUG